CUACGGGUGGCAGCAGUGGGGAAUAUUGCACAAUGGGGGAAACCCUGAUGCAGCAACGCCGCGUGGAGGAUGACGCAUUUCGGUGUGUAAACUCCUUUUAUAUCCCAAGAUAAUGACGGUAGGAUAUGAAUAAGCACCGGCUAACUCCGUGCCAGCAGCCGCGGUAAUACGGAGGGUGCAAGCGUUACUCGGAAUCACUGGGCUUAAAGGGCGCGUAGGCGGGUUGUCAAGUCUUGAGUGAAAUCCAACGGCUCAACCGUUGAACUGCUUGAGAAACUGGCAGCCUAGAGUAAGGGAGAGGUAGAUGGAAUUGGUGGUGUAGGGGUAAAAUCCGUAGAGAUCACCAGGAAUACCCAUUGCGAAGGCGAUCUGCUGGAACUUUACUGACGCUGAGGCGCGAAAGCGUGGGGAGCAAACAGGAUUAGAUACCCCCGUAGUC
rnacentral:rRNA from 1 species